GGGGUUGUAGCUCAGCGGCAGAGCGCUCACCUAGCACGUACAAGGCCCUGGGUUCGAUCCUCAGCACCCCA
rfam:Ictidomys tridecemlineatus contig074458, whole genome shotgun sequence.